rnacentral:rRNA from 1 species
UACGUAGGGUGCAAGCGUUGUCCGGAAUUAUUGGGCGUAAAGAGCUUGUAGGCGGUUUGUCGCGUCUGCUGUGAAAUUUCGGGGCUCAACCCCGAACUUGCAGUGGGUACGGGCAGACUAGAGUGUGGUAGGGGAGACUGGAAUUCCUGGUGUAGCGGUGAAAUGCGAAGAUAUCAGGAGGAACACCGAUGGCGAAGGCAGGUCUCUGGGCCACUACUGACGCUGAGAAGCGAAAGCAUGGGGAGCGAACAGG